rnacentral:rRNA from 1 species
UACGUAGGGGGCGAGCGUUGUCCGGAAUUACUGGGCGUAAAGGGUGCGUAGGCGGUCAUAUAAGUUGGAUGUGAAAUACCCGGGCUUAACUUGGGGGGUGCAUUCAAAACUGUAGGACUAGAGUACAGGAGAGGGAAGCGGAAUUCCUAGUGUAGCGGUGAAAUGCGUAGAUAUUAGGAGGAACACCGGUGGCGAAGGCGGCUUUCUGGACUGACACUGACGCUGAGGCACGAAAGCGUGGGGAGCAA